rnacentral:lncRNA from 1 species
UAAAAAAAAUCAAAAAUAGUGAAAAAAAGAAUAAAAAAAAAGAGUUACGAAAAAAAUAAAAAAAUUUGUGUACAAAAGUUUUUUUUGCCCGAAAACUCAUAUUAUUCCUUACUACUACCAAACGGCCACACCCAUCCUUUGUUUUUUUGUUUCUAGCCAACCCUUGUCCUGAUAUUUCCAACCCAAACUGACAUCACUUUUGUAAGCCAACUCCACGCCGACGACAACCGUUAAGUCUAAGUAGUACAUUGUGAAUCGAGGGAGCGAAUAGAGUGGAAAAAGGCAUGAAUGUGUGGUGACAUUAUUCGAGUGUAUAAAAGCCAAAUUGUGAGAUUUUUUUCUUUUUGAGAGAAGUGUGAGGUUUGU